rnacentral:rRNA from 1 species
AAUCGAUUAGUUGAAUUUCGGGGUUAGUACGGUUGGUCAUGCCUCUGGUAUGUACUGGUCUCACUGAUUCCUCCUUCCUGAUGAACCGUAAUGCCAUUAAUUUGGUGUUGCGGGGAAUUAGGACUGUUACUUUGAAAAAAUUAGAGUGUUUAAAGCAGGCAUACGCUUGAAUACAUUAGCAUGGAAUAAUGAAAUAGGACGUUCGAACCUAUUUUGUUGGUUUCUAGGAUUGACGUAAUGAUUAAUAGGGAUAGUUGGGGGCAUUAGUAUUCAAUUGUCAGAGGUGAAAUUCUUGGAUUUAUUGAAGACUAACUACUGCGAAAGCAUUUGCCAAGGAUGUUUUCAUUAAUCAAGAACGAAAGUUAGGGGAUCGAAGACGAUCAGAUACCGUCGUAGUCUUAACCAUAAACUAUGCCGACUAGGGAUCGGAUGAUGUUAUUUUUAAUGACUCAUUCGGCGCCUUACGGGAAACCAAAGUGUUUGGGUUCCGGGGGGAGUAUGGUCGCAAGGCUGAAACUUAAAGGAAUUGACGGAAGGGCACCACCAGGGGUGGAGCCUGCGGCUUAAUUUGACUCAACACGGGGAAA